rnacentral:rRNA from 1 species
GGGUUGUGAGGUUAAGCGACUAAGCGUACACGGUGGAUGCCCUGGCAGUCAGAGGCGAUGAAGGACGUGCUAAUCUGCGAUAAGCGUCGGUAAGGUGAUAUGAACCGUUAUAACCGGCGAUUUCCGAAUGGGGAAACCCAGUGUGAUUCGUCACACUAUCAUUAACUGAAUCCAUAGGUUAAUGAGGCGAACCGGGGGAACUGAAACAUCUAAGUACCCCGAGGAAAAGAAAUCAACCGAGAUUCCCCCAGUAGCGGCGAGCGAACGGGGAGGAGCCCAGAGCCUGAAUCAGUGUGUGUGUUAGUGGAAGCGUUUGGAAAGGCGCGCGAUACAGGGUGACAGCCCCGUACACAAAAAUGCACAUGCUGUGAGCUCGAUG